UAAUACAGAGGGUGCAAGCGUUAAUCGGAAUUACUGGGCGUAAAGCGUGCGUAGACGGUUAUGUAAGUCAGAUGUGAAAGCCCCGGGCUCAACCUGGGAAUCGCAUUUGAGACUGUGUAGCUAGGGUGCGGAAGAGGGAAGCGGAAUUUCCGGUGUAGCGGUGAAGUGCGUAGAUAUCGGAAGGAACACCAGUGGCGAAAGCGGCUUCCUGGUCCAGCACCGACGUUCAGGCACGAAAGCGUGGGGAGCAAACAG
rnacentral:rRNA from 1 species